rnacentral:rRNA from 1 species
GGAUUCAAGCGAUGCAGUCUUAAAGGCAAUUCUGGAGUUGAGCUCCUUGGCUUUCACCUCUAACUUACAAAGCCGCCUACGUGCGCUUUACGCCCAGUAAUUCCCAAUAACGCUAGCUCCCUCCGUAUUACCGCGGCUGCUGGCACGGAGUUAGCCGGAGCUUAUUCUCCCGGUACUGUCAUUAUCAUCCCGGGUAAAAGAGCUUUACAACCCUAAGGCCUUCAUCACUCACGCGGCAUUGCUGGAUCAGGCUUUCGCCCAUUGUCCAAUAUUCCCCACUGCUGCCUCCCGUAGGAGUCUGGGCCGUGUCUCAGUCCCAGUGUGGCUGAUCAUCCUCUCAGACCAGCUAAGGAUCGUCGCCUUGGUGCGCCUUUACCACACCAACUAGCUAAUCCUACGCGGGCUCAUCCUCAGGCGAUAAAUCUUUGAUCUCGCGAUAUCAUCCGGUAUUAGCAGCAAUUUCUCGCUGUUAUUCCGAACCUGAGGGCAGAUUCCCACGCGUUACGCACCCGUGCGCCACUAAGGCCGAAGCCUUCGUUCGACUUGCAUGUGUUAGGCAUGCC